rnacentral:rRNA from 1 species
AACGUAGGAGACAAACGUUAUCCGGAGUUACUGGGCGUAAAGGGCGUGCAGGUGGUCUGUUAAGUCUGGCGUGAAAGCUCCUGGCUAAACCGGGAGAGGUCGUUGGAUACUGGCGGACUAGAGGACGGUAGAGGCGUGUGGAAUUCCGGGUGUAGUGGUGAAAUGCGUAGAGAUCCGGAGGAACACCAGUGGCGAAGGCGACACGCUGGGCCGGCCCUGACACUGAGACGCGAAGGCGUGGGGAGCGAACGGG